rnacentral:rRNA from 1 species
GACGAACGCUGGCGGCGUGCCUAAUACAUGCAAGUAGAACGCUGAAGGAGGAGCUUGCUUCUCCGGAUGAGUUGCGAACGGGUGAGUAACGCGUAGGUAACCUGCCUGGUAGCGGGGGAUAACUAUUGGAAACGAUAGCUAAUACCGCAUAACAGUAGAUGUUGCAUGACAUUUGCUUAAAAGGUGCAAUUGCAUCACUACCAGAUGGACCUGCGUUGUAUUAGCUAGUUGGUGAGGUAACGGCUCACCAAGGCGACGAUACAUAGCCGACCUGAGAGGGGGAUCGGCCACACUGGGACUGAGACACGGCCCAGACUCCUACGGGAGGCAGCAGUAGGGAAUCUUCGGCAAUGGACGGAAGUCUGACCGAGCAACGCCGCGUGAGUGAAGAAGGGUUUCGGAUCGUAAAGCUCUGUUGUAAGAGAAGAACGAGUGUGAGAGUGGAAAGUUCACACUGUGACGGUAUCUUACCAGAAAGGGACGGCUAACUACGUG